CCUCCAGACACCUAAAUCUUUCCUUAAAUCCAGAGAAGACUUGAAAAAAACUGCUGGAAAUGUUAGUUUUCCUUGAGUUCUAGCUUUGGGAUGCAUUUGGGAAGACUCAGACCCAGUCAUAUAGUUACAUAUCAUUCAAAGGUAUCAUAGUCUUGUAAUUUCUUGAGUAAAAAUCGUUCAAAUCGUUCGAAACGCUUAUUAAUUCUUACAAUUUUCAGUGAACAAAACUUGUGA